UGUGUACAUAUGUUUGUCUGGAUGAUGAGAUGAUAUGAUGUUUUUUCCUGAUGUGGUAAAUGCUUUGUAACCGUUCCUUGCAAUGUGUGGUUUACUGAUGUAUAUGGUGGUUUAUUAUUUUUGCAGAGAUGAUGUGGUGACUAGGACAUGGUAAAAGGAGAAAUGUGUAUAGAUGAUGAUGAGUGAUGGUGUUGCAUCAAGAAACCCAGCACGUGUGGACAACCAACUACUACUCAAAACUUUUUCUCUUUUGAUUAUUGAUGACUUUAUAAUGUAAUUUAGAGAAAAAUUGUGAUCCUUAUUUUGUACCUUUAUGUUUCUUUGUAAAGUAUAAUGAAGAAUGAAAAAAGCUGAGCGAAUUAAUAAAUCUUA
rnacentral:lncRNA from 1 species